CUACGGUUUUAGGUGUUCUUUUUAUUUUAAUAAUACGUUGAUAAAUUACCAAUUUUUUCAAUUUUUUUUUCUUAUCACAAAGCUAGUUCGUCUUUGUGUAUGUUUAAAUUUAUAUUUUUUUAUAGUUAUUGUGCUGUUUAACUUUCUUAUAAAAGAGAGUGAGGAAUUAAAAAGGUGGCCACCGAACAGAAAGUUAAACUGCAAUAUACUAUAAUCUUUUUAGUUCAUGUUUACAUUUUUAACUGAUAAAUUAUGAAUAUAAAAUUUCAAAUUAAUUUAAAUUCAAAAAUAAAAGAACACCAACAUAGAUUUCUUAAACAUUAAAAUUUUACUAUAAAUUUAAAUUACAUUUAAUCAGCACAUUAGUUGAAGUUUUAUAGGAACCGAAUAUUUGGCUGGAUCAUGGACUACCCACCGACGGAGAAUUUGUCAUUGAGCUGAAGGAAAAUGUGUCAGCACUCGGCUUCGUUUCAACCCGGAGGACGUCUAGCAGCAGCAAAAAGAAAUUCAACUGAUGAUAAUCAACUGUCGAAAUGAAGAAGAAUUCGUCACAAAGCUGAUGGAAAAUGUGUCAGCACUCGGCUGUAUUUGAACACGGAGGACGUCUAGCAGCAGCAAAAAGAAAUUCAACUAAUGAUAAUCAACAAUCUGAAGAAGGAUUUGUCACAAAGCUGACGGGAAAUGUGUCGGCACUCAGCUUCGUUUCAACCCGGAGGAAGAUUGGCAGCAUCAAUAAGAAGCUCAUCUUAAUUUAGUUGUCCCCCCUUUACGCAUUCGCUCUCAUCUCUCAUCCACUCACCCAACACAUUGACUAUCGCCGGCCGGCAACACACAUAUAUUAUACACAUUACCUGUUUUAUAUUGUAUAAUUUUAUUAAUACCUACAUAGUUUAAGUUAUUGUAUAUUUUUUUUUAUUAUUUGAAUGCAUUCAUAUGAUCAGUUGUGUAUUUAGGAAUUUUAGGAUAAGGGCAACACAUAUUUUGCCGCAUUCCCCCCAUUAAAAAAAAAUUAAAAAACUUCUACGCCGCGCAAUAGUGGUCAAACUGUUAAUACCAUAGAAUACCAUGUUAUAUAAAUAGUAUAGUAUUUUAUACCUCUAUGGCACACAUGUGUUGUGAAAAUUAUUAAUGAUUGACGUCACUACGCCAGUACGAAAUAAAGUACGAAAUAAAAAUUUACCGCCCCUCUAAAUCUUUAAAAUUUUUCCGUUCUGGACAACUGAACCCAAAACCCCUACCUAAAUACGCACCUGCAUAUGAUGCGUUCUCGCUUACGAUGUGGAUUAGGCCUACUGGGGACACCACAAUAAAAAAACGCGCCUCGUGUAAUACCUCAUAAAGUUAUUAAACAAUACGGACAAUGUUAUUGUACGUCGUUUAAUAAUAAAGGUGGUGUGGAA